CGGGGAGGGAUGUAGCCCAUCGCCAGGCGAGCCGCAGGGUGGGAAGCCAAAGCACCGGCUCCGAGGGAGGUUAUAAAAGGCAGGAGCGUGUGGUUGAUGCCAAAGGUGCCACCCGCCCCCGAGCAGCCCCGCUGGGACCCGGACACGCUCCUGUGCACGGAGCCCCGAGGAUUUUAUCCCCGACGGCAGAAGGAGCCGAGCGGGAGCAGGACCGCUGCCAGCCAUGCCCCUGGGAGCUGGGCGCAGCGAGAGCUAAGGAUGGUGCCCAGCCUGCGUCCUGCCCUCCUCCUCCUCCUCCUGCAGGCAUUUCUCCUCUGGGAUAGCCCAGUUGCAGCCUCCAUCCAAGAGCAGUACUGCGAGAGCCUGACGCCUGUCACCAACCACACAGCUCCUCAGGGACCAUGCACAGCUGCUUUCACCUCACCUUGCUGCAAAGCCCA
rnacentral:lncRNA from 14 species